rnacentral:tRNA from 1 species
ACCGAGAAGGCUCAGUUGGUAGAGCCUCUGUGGGGUAAACGGAGUGUCGCUGGUUCUAUUCGGGCUCGCGGUA